UUGCUUAUAACACAGACGGAAAAUAAAAUAUUGCUUACACUCGUCGUCAACUUCAACAUCGCAGCUAUUAUUUGUAGCUUUAUUCUGUCAAGUGGUUUUCCCUUUCAUCCCUUGUGAAAUCUGUUAAAUACGCUUUUGAUAUAUUUAAGAUGGAUACGCGUGUCCUGAUGUGCAUGGUAGUCAUUGCUGUGCUGCUGAAUCAAGCGGCCCAAGGAAACGCAUGCGACGUUUGUGGAAUACGACGUUGUCCGCCAGGUACGCGGUGUCGUCGCUAUGGCAGCGCAUUCAGGUGUAGUGGAUAUCAAGCGAUGGGGCGUCUUGCCCCGGUAGGUACUGGAAAUAAAGGCGGUGCUGGGGUGUAAUCAGUUCUGUGCAUUUCCGACCAAUCGGGUUAAUAUCGGAUGGUCCGUACAUCAGCUAUGUUUACUAUUAAACUUUGAUUGCAAUUGUACGCUUUGACUAGUGGUUUAUUCGCUACAAAAUAUAGUCGUUUAGAAUGUCAUUUCUGUUAAUAUUAGCAUAUACUAAAAAGAGCAUACAAUUUGUAAACAAUGUAAACACAUUACUUUAAUACAAAAUGUAUCAAGACAAAAUAAAAUAAUUAUAUUUUG